rnacentral:misc_RNA from 1 species
AACGUAGGGGGCGAGCGUUGUCCGGAAUCACUGGGCGUAAAGGGUGCGUAGGCGGCUAUUUAAGUCUCGUGUGAAAGGUCCCGGCUUAACCGGGGAGUUGCACGGGAAACUGGAUGGCUUGAGUGCCGGAGAGGGUCGCGGAAUUCCAGGUGUAGCGGUGAAAUGCGUAGAUAUCUGGAAGAACACCAGUGGCGAAGGCGGCGACCUGGACGGUAACUGACGCUGAGGCACGACAGCUGGGGGAGCGAACAGG